rnacentral:rRNA from 1 species
AUGCGACGGGAACCCCCAGAUCCUCCCGCUCCGCCAACUAUGGAGGCGGCGGUACACCGCUCAAGAGAGAGCGGGGCCCUGGUUGACGAAAUGGAGAAAGGACUUAGAAGAACAUCAAAUAAAGAAAGAAAGAUAAGUGCAUAA